AAGGAGUUCAUUGACUAUUUGUUCCUAAAUAGGUUUUCCUCUGUCUUCACCAUUCCUUUUGCCUGCAAUGCCAUUAUUGCUCCAUUACAUUUACACGAAUCAUAUAUAUCCUCUGGGGUUGAACUCAAGUCCUACCUAUUCAAUAAUAUCACUAGCAACAACAAUAAUAGUAUUUAUAUAGCACUUUAAGAUUGGCAAAGCACUUUAAACAUUAUCUCAACUGAUCCUUAAACAGGUAUGUGAGGCAGAAGCUUUAUUAAUUGCUUCCAUUUUUCAGAUGAACAGACUGAGCUUGAGAGAAGUCAUGUGGGUAAGUGACUGAAGCAAGAUCUGAGUUUAGACUUUUCCUGACUCCAAGGGCAACACUAUUCACUGCAUCACCUAAGAAGUUAUUCUAGGCCACCAUGAUCUUCUUUUCUGAAUUUCCCCAAGUCUCCUCUGUUUUACUCUUGUGGGUCUUAUAUUACACAAUCUGCUACAUGGAUACUUAACUGUUAAUGCAUAUAAUUUCACAUGGACUUGGCUAUAAACUACUGAAGACAGGAAGCUUCUCUCAGAUCUAAAGUCUAGGGGAGUGGACUUCUCGACUGGAGAUAGAGAUCUAGAUUUGGGUUUAUCACUUACUAGUUGUGUGACUCUGGUCAAGUUAUAUAACAUCUCUAAACCCUCAAUUUGCUCACCUACAGAAUGGAGAUAAUAACCAAACCUGUAUUUCCUGCCUUGGCCGACUUUUGUGAGAUGGGGCUUAAAAAAACUAUCUGUACAUAUUUAUAUAUGUGUGUAUGCUAUUGCAGUUUUUAUAUCUCCUUUAGUACUUUGCCUAGAGCUCUUCACAUAGUAGAUGAAUUGGUGAUGCAUUAAUGAAUUGUGGAGCUAUAGACCAAGGCUAAUCUAAGUCCUUUUGAUUCCAUAUUGAAUCAACCUUGACUGCCACUUGAUUCACAGAAGCUGAACUGAUAAAAUCUUAUUCUGAAGGCUAGAAAUCUCUUUUUCAUGCACUCUUUCACAGUGCUAUUAAUAAUAAUACCAGCUGACUUAUUCAUGGUACUUUAAAGUUCACAAACUACUUUACAUACACUGUCUCCUUUGCUUACAACCUUGACAGCUAAGUGUUACAGGUCACUCGGGGUGUUAGUAUUCCCAUUUCUUGAUGAGAAAAAUGACACUUAGAGAGGGCAAGUGACUCAUGCAAUUAUGACCACAAAUGGUCAGUGUUCAAGGUGCUAUUUGAGCUUUAAUCUAUCUUGGGAGUCAAAUGUUCUUUUGACUCUUACUACGCUCUUUCCUUCACACUCUAAGGGUGGAAGACAAAAAUCUUGAUGCCUGAAAAUGGAAGCAGCCAUUGGGACAGUAAUACUAUUUGCUACUCAGUCAAAGGAAGAAUGAAAAUUCCUUACUGCUGAUACGGAUUUGUCAAGCACCACCAUGAAUACAACUGCACUUUAAGUGACAACAUCUGCUGCAGAAGAUGAAGAGGGAAAGAAAUUCUACUUGGAAUAAGACCCUCUAAAUUAAAUUAACAUCUUUUCUCAAUGUCUAGUGACUUCAAUGAAAAAGUAGUAUUGUGGCAAAUGGUAAAAUUGUUAGGUGUGCUGGCACACACUUGUAAUCCUUGAUACUGGGGAAGGCUAUGAUUGGUGGAUCCCUAAAGCUCAGAAAUUCUGAGCUGCAGUUUAGGAUAAAGCUGACCAGUUUUCUACACCAAAUCUGACACCUUCCAAGGAGUGGAGGGCCACUAUGCUGCUGAAGGAGUGAAAUCACCCAGAGAGCAAAAAUAAAGCUGGUGUAAGUUUCUGUGCCAGUUAGCACUAUGAAUGGAUAUUGUACUACCAGCCAGGUUGACAUAAGAAGACUGUCUCAAGAAAGAGAGAUAGGAGAAAGAGAGAUGAAAGAAAGAAAGAAGGAGACAGAGGAGGGAGAAAGAAGAAAAGAGAGAGGAGGAGAGAAAGAGAGAGAGAGAGGGAGAGGAAAGAGGGAGGGAAAGAGAAACAGAACAUAGCAAGUGAGAAGAAGGAGAAAGGGUUGAAGAGGGAGGGGGGAGAAAGAGAGAGAUAUAGAUAGACAGAGAGAGAGAGAGAAUGGUAAAACAUCUAUUCAAGAAUAUGGUUUAUGAGUAAAAGACGAGAAAGGCCAGACUUGUUGACUGUACAGAAAGCUUAUGCCUAUGCAUCAUAAGUACAGUCUUUGGGAAAAGAAUCAGAAGGUGCUAGACUUGGUGAGCAAUGAAUAAAAUGACAAAAAUGAAAAAAUUUAACAGCUAGAAAAUGACUUGUUACUGAGUUGGAAAUCAUUCCUGAAUCACAUGUUUGGACAUGGUUAAGAUAUCCACUUGCAAGAACCAAAAUUAACACAAAAGGAGAAGUAAAUAAAAUGGGGGAAAUGAUGGCAAACAA